GACGAACGCUGGCGGCGUGCUUAACACAUGCAAGUCGAACGAAGUGGCGAACGGGUGAGUAACGCGUAAUCAACCUGCCCUUCAGAGGGGGACCACAGUUGGAACCGACUGCUAAUACCGCAUACUGAAGGAGGGGCUUGCGUCUGAUUAGCUAGUGGGAGGGGUAACGGCCCAACAAGGCGAUGAUCAGUAGCCGGUCGGAGAGGAGGAACGGCCACAUUGGGACUGAGACACGGCCCAGACUCCUACGGGAGGCAGCAGGGGGGAAGCUUCCGCAAUGGACGAAAGUCUGACGGAGCAACGCCGCGUGAGUGAUGACGGCCUUCGGGUUGUAAAGCUCUGUUAAUCGGGACGCGGUACCGGAAUAGAAAGCCACGGCUAACUACGUGCCAGCAGCCGCGGUAAUAC
rnacentral:rRNA from 1 species